CACAGAUGAUGAUGAAGAUGAGAGUGAGGAGGAACAAACCAUUGAUAAAGAAGCAGAGGUGGAUUGUCCUCAUGAACUGAACGACAUGGACACUCCUGACGCAGACGGACUCCUUCCUGUACAUAAUGUACGCAAAGGCACAACACGAAGACCAUGGACCAAAGCAGAGGAAAAUGCUGUGCUGAGACAUUUCAAGUCUCACAUAGUUAAAGGCCAUUUGGCAUCAAUGAAGGAGUGUUUGGUUUGCAAAGAA